UGGGUAUUUACUUAUUGACGAGGAAUGGGAGAUGUUGGGCAGCAUUGCCUGUAAUCAGGUAAAUCAAUCCCAGCCACCUUGCAGCAAGGUAUCCCUUAACAAGAAAGGUUGAAUUUAAAUGGUAACUGAGUUGGCCUUUUAGAGUUUGGAGAAAUUGAGGGUAAUAAUGGUAAUCCCAAAUUUACUUGAGGACCUUUUCCUGGUAAAUUUGGAAAGUCACUAUAGAUCACCAGUGAUGUGCCUAUCCCUGUACUGGGGGUAUGUGGGGAAUAUAAAAUUCUCAAUACUUUCCUCUAAGGUGCUUAUGUUUUACAUAGUAAGAAUAAAGCAUACCCACGAUCAUACCUGUGCCCAAAAGCCAGGGUAGCUUUAACAAGUGCUUAAAUGCAAGCCAUAGUUUCAGGUUGAUAGAACAUUAGGGGACAGAUCUUUUUACAGGGAGAAGCCACACUGAGGGAAUGAGGAGGAAGGGUGGAAUUUGCAGUAGCAGCCAGAUGAUGGUGACAUUGAAGGGGCAACUGGGCUGUCAGAGAUGGCCCCUGAGUGGAUGGUGUGAUUUUUGAUUUUUAGAACUAGAAGGUAUCUGUCCUCUGUCUCCUUUGGGGGACACGCUCAUUACACAGAUACAGAAAAUAAGCCCAGAGCAGUAGAAUGACUUGCCCAAGGACAAAGAUUUAGUGGCAAAGCUGAAACUGAAGCCAUUUCCCUGCAUCCCUGCAGAGUGCUUUUUCUGUUAGUUCACCAUGUCCUAGCCAGACUUCUGAAAAUGUGAUAUUUGCCCAAAGCGUCGAGACUUAUGUAAUAUUCAGCGUGGCCCAUUUUGGAAUAGGCUUGUUUCUUUGCUAUUUUAAGAGGGCUGCUAUGAUGACAUCAUUUAUUUUUCUGAUGUGAUUAAAGAAAAUACCAGCUGGCAUCAAAGGUGUUGGGAGCAGGGAAGUGGUGCCACCACAGCCAUGACAUUAAGCUUCUGGUACACCCACCCCAGGGCUUUCAUGUUCCAGCAAGGGCUUUUAACUGGACUCUCUGGAUGUCCUUGCCCAGUCAGGGUAGGGCAUGUGUCAUUGCCAGCCUGUGAUUGCCUCGAGGGGCCUCUUUGUGAUCCCAUCUCUAAUUUCCGUCUACAGCUUUGUGAGCUACAAUAGAUAGAUUCUGUUUCCCUUCUCCUUUCAUUGCUUGCCCCAUUCCCAGCUUGGAGCCCUGC
rnacentral:lncRNA from 1 species